AAAGCAUUUUGUGUUUUAAAUAAACUUUAAUUAAAAGUAAAAGUAUCUGUUCUUAUCAGCUUGAUAUCUGAUACGGUUUCCAUCGGAGACCUUCGAUAUUAAACUGAUUUUUGAAACUGGGCAAGACAGGGGGCUUGCUCCCUCCCCGCCGCGGGUUGCUCUGGCCUGGCACUUAUAGCCAGAGAUAGCCCACCCCCC